CAUUGCCAAGAAGAGCUGCCCGGACCACACUCGACUGUGAUAUAAACAAGAAACAAACCUUUCCGCAAACCUAUGAGAUGUGAGUGUGUUUUCUACUGCAGCAGAACCUACACUAUCCCAGUGCAGGAAGCGCUCAUUGCAAAUGGAGGUUAUCUUGUUGAUUUUUGGUUAAACUUCUCAUGUCACGUUUUCUGACAACACCUUCCAUUGUACCAUCUGUUUCUGAACAAUACCUGGGACAUUGCAAACUUGUUCUGCAAGAAUACCCUGGGUCUCAGUGUGUGUGACAAGGGAUGGAAGUAGAUACGUGGUCUUGCUAUGUUGCCCAGGCUGGUCUCAGACUCCUGGGCUCAAAGGAUCUGCCUGCCUCAGCCUCCGGAAGUGCUGGGAUUACAGGUGUGAGCCACUGUACUCCGCCACAGGAGCGUGUGGCCGGGGACUCGUGCAUGCCAGGGAAGAGCACUGGCUUCCGGAUCCUCUGACUUCACCAUGUGACUUGGCCAGCAAUGACCCUGGGUUAGAGAUAGGUGGAGCGGAGGCAGGCAGUGGUCAGAGACCCCAGACAUGGGGUCCUGGCACCACAACUGUGAUUUUCCAUCACUUUAGAGGCACCAACAGGGGUCCCUCUGGAAACGUGGAGCAGAAUCAUCCAGGAUCCCGAAGAGGACUUUGUCCUCCUGCCCAUUUCCAGUUCCUCUCCCAUCUCCUCUGGUUUCCAGAAGCAGCACAUCCCCGGCCCCACCCCUCAUCUGUAUACGGAUCCUCCUAAUGCAGACCCAGGUGAUGGAAAACCCGUCUACAACGAACCAAGGCUGUUCGUGCUUUCAAAUAUUAAAUUCUGUUCAGAAUAUUAAAUAAUUUCAUCUUCAGUGAUCCCAGUAAAUUUAAUUAGCUCUUGUUCUCCCAAUAGAGUUGUCUCUUGGUUGCUGAAAUGUUGCAUUCUCAAGGAAGGAGGCCCACAUUCCUGCAGCGCGGAGGGCUCGCUGUCUCCCUGCGCAGCCUGCCCUGCCGCAGGCACCACGGCACAUCGGCUGCCAGGAUCCCCUGUGCCCUGGCAGGAGGCGGAUGACACGGAGCUCUGCUGUCCGUGAGCUGUUCAUUCUCUGGGGGCAGGGAGAACCUUGAGGGAUCUGCUGGGUACCCUCCGUCAGGGUGCUGUGCAAGGGCAAUUAUAAACGACACUCCAGGGACCCCACAGAGCUGGCAUCCUUCUUCCAGGGGGAGCAGCCUGAGGGUGGCUGGGUCUGCCUGUGUCCUGGAGCUAGGCCCGUGAAGAUGGGUCUCCAUCAUUUCUCC
rnacentral:lncRNA from 1 species